CACGUAGGAGGCGAGCGUUGUCCGGAAUCAUUGGGCGGAAAGAGCGCGCAGGCGGCUUGGCAAGUCGGGGGUGAAAUCCCGGGGCUCAACCCCGUGACUGCAUCCGAUACUGUCAGGCUAGAGGUAGGUAGGGGAGAUCGGAAUUCCUGGUGUAGCGGUGAAAUGCGCAGAUAUCAGGAGGAACACCGGUGGCGAAGGCGGAUCUCUGGGCCUUACCUGACGCUCAGGCGCGAAAGCUAGGGGAGCGAACAGG
rnacentral:rRNA from 1 species